CAGGUGGCUGUACCGACUCUGAUAACGUAUCCUGAGUGAGCCAUGUUUCCGUGAAGUAGAAAAUGUUGCAAUCUCUGAUGUCUCUCUGGAAGGCAACCCUUGCUCGGAUUUCAUCUACCUUUUUGUCAAGAGACUCUACAUUGGCAAGUAGUAUACUCGGGAGCGGUGAGCGAUGUGCCUGUCUACGGAGCCUGACCAGAAGACCGCUCCAUCUGCCCCUUCUGCGGCGCCGUUGUUUUGGGUCGAGCACCUGCUGGGAUCCAAUCCAUUGUCCUGGGUGGUGGACCAAACAGAGGAUCCUCUUCGAGAAAGUCGUAUUCCUGGUCAUAAUGUUGUUGAUGCCCCUCCUUGUUCGGGUGGUGCUCGGCGAUCGACGUCACCGGUCUUCUAGCCACCAUUGAUCAGUUUUUCAUUUUCCAUUAGUUUUGUCUGGUCUCCUUACACACCUGUUUCCUAUCCCAGUAAUUACAUGUUGUGUAUUUAACCCUCAUAUCCUUGUCGGUGAUUGUUUGUUAUGUACGUGUUGUUGAUGUAUCGGUGUGCGACGGGUUAUUGUUUACCCAAAUAAUUUUUCUACGUUGGUUUUGGAGUUAGUUCUUUUAAUAAAUACUCCAUUUUUUUUAAACCACUUUGGUUUCUCCUGCGCCUGACUUCCCUGCCACCUACAUACACGGAUUAUGACUCUCUGUCUCUCUCUCUCUCUGUCUCUCUCACUUUCUCUUGCUUUCUCUCACUCUCUACACAUAGAAAACAAAGCCGUGUAUAGUUUCUGUGACUGCUGCAGUGGAAUGGUCUCUCGGGACCUCCUCUUCUUUCUGAUGACGUGGAUGUUGAUUAAGGGAACCCUCCACACCUCUUUGAUUCAGAGGAGUUUGGUUAAAUGUGGAAGACACAUUUCAGUUCAAUGCAUUUGACGAGGUAUCCCCUUUCCCUCUCUUUUUCUCUCUCGCUCUCCCUCUCUAUUUCUCUCCCCCUUUCUCUCUCCCUCUCUCCCCCCCUCCUCCCUGUGAAUGACUGCUCUAUAUGUUCGUGAGAGUUUCACCUUUCCACAGAAGGGUCAUAUUAGUGUGUAGUCCAAACUGUUGGGACCCUACAGACAGAAGUUGGCAGAUCAUCUGUACCGACUUCAGACGAGUCCCAAGACGCUUGUGGGGGUUGUAGAGUAAAACUGAGAACAUCAUCGUGUUCAUGAGUCUCAUCUUUCCAUAAUAGUUGUAGGCCAAACUGUUCGAAUUCUACAGAUGAUUUUAUGAGAAGACCGAUUUUCGGGAUGUCUCAUGGUUUGACAAACUCUGCCCUAGCACAGAAGUGCGACAUCAGCGGAUGCGGUGGAUUGAGAUGCAUCCAACAAAAAAAAAAACAGAUACUGUAUGUCUAGUUUAAACUGACAGAUUUUUAUGGGGAUUUUUGUAUUAUGCUAAUUAGAUUUCCGCGGGGGUGCGUACAUCGACUUGAGGGGGUUAACUCUUUUAGGAAAGGUUUUUGGGUAUAAAAACAUCUUGUUCAUCUUAUUAACUGCUAAUCAAAAUUGUGAUUAGUUGUAUUAUCUGGGCUGAAACAAAAGCUUGCACACCUUGCUCUCUUGGGUUGGUGACCAGUGAUGUAGAGUAGAUGGAUGCGUGCUUGUUCAUCUUAUCAACUGUUCAUCAUAGUUGGGUUGGAACAAAAGCCUGCACGCCAGUCCAACUGGGCACAGGCGUCAGUUCUAGGUCUAGUUUUUAUUUAUAUUUCGUUGAGUUGUCAACUAAUGUGAAUAAAAUAAAAUCACCAUGUCAUUGGAUUUAGGUUAAAAGUUGGGGGUGGACCAGCUUUAAUAUUGAGGAUAUUGCAAAUCCAAUCCGUUUUCCAUGUUGAUUCAACGUCAUCACAUUGAUUUUUCUGUGUUGAAAUUAGGUGGAAACAAUGUAGAUUUAACCAGUUUUUGCACAGUGGGAAAGCCCUCCAGGACCGCUGAUGACCAUUGUGAAAGUAUUUCGCAAGAUGUUGUCUGAUCAAAAAA
rnacentral:lncRNA from 1 species